rnacentral:piRNA from 1 species
UCCUGCCUCCCCUCUUUGAUCCUUUUCUG